AACGAACGCUGGCGGCAUGCCUAAUACAUGCAAGUCGAACGAUCUCUUCGGAGGUAGUGGCGCACGGGUGCGUAACGCGUGGGAAUCUGCCCUUGGGUUCGGAAUAACGUCGGGAAACUGACGCUAAUACCGGAUGAUGACGUAAGUCCAAAGAUUUAUCGCCCAGGGAUGAGCCCGCGUAGGAUUAGCUAGUUGGUGGGGUAAAGGCCUACCAAGGCGACGAUCCUUAGCUGGUCUGAGAGGAUGAUCAGCCACACUGGGACUGAGACACGGCCCAGACUCCUACGGGAGGCAGCAGUAGGGAAUAUUGGACAAUGGGGGCAACCCUGAUCCAGCAAUGCCGCGUGAGUGAUGAAGGCCUUAGGGUUGUAAAGCUCUUUUACCCGGGAUGAUAAUGACAGUACCGGGAGAAUAAGCCCCGGCUAACUCCGUGCCAGCCGCCGCGGUAA
rnacentral:rRNA from 1 species